GUAGCAAGGGCAGCUGGGGCGGCCUGGGAGUCGGCACUUGACUGGGGCUGGCAGUAGUGGUGGCAGGAGGAGGUAGGGGACCAGCGGGGCUUGCUACCUUUGCCUCCUCACUCACCAAUUAGUGGUGGGAAGGCAAGGCAGCAACAAUGGAGGUCUGCAGGUGGCAGAAGGAAGGCAGCGACGACUGGCUGGCUGGCUGGCUGGCUCGGCUGCUGCUGCUGCUGCUGCUGCUGUUG